rnacentral:rRNA from 1 species
AAAAGAACCUGAAACCGUGUACGUACAAGCAGUGGGAGCACGCUUCGGCGUGUGACUGCGUACCUUUUGUAUAAUGGGUCAGCGACUUAUAUUCUGUAGCAAGGUUAACCGAAUAGGGGAGCCGAAGGGAAACCGAGUCUUAACUGGGCGUUAAGUUGCAGGGUAUAGACCCGAAACCCGGUGAUCUAGCCAUGGGCAGGUUGAAGGUUGGGUAACACUAACUGGAGGACCGAACCGACUAAUGUUGAAAAAUUAGCGGAUGACUUGUGGCUGGGGGUGAAAGGCCAAUCAAACCGGGAGAUAGCUGGUUCUCCCCGAAAGCUAUUUAGGUAGCGCCUCGUGAAUUCAUCUCCGGGGGUAGAGCACUGUUUCGGCAAGGGGGUCAUCCCGACUUACCAACCCGAUGCAAACUGCGAAUACCGGAGAAUGUUAUCACGGGAGACACACGGCGGGUGCUAACGUCCGUCGUGAAGAGGGAAACAACCCAGACCGCCAGCUAAGGUCCCAAAGUCAUGGUUAAGUGGGAAACGAUGUGGGAAGGCCCAGACAGCCAGGAUGUUGGCUUAGAAGCAGCCAUCAUUUAAAGAAAGCGUAAUAGCUCACUGGUCGAGUCGGCCUGCGCGGAAGAUGUAACGGGGCUAAACCAUGCACCGAAGCUGCGGCAGCGACACUAUGUGUUGUUGGGUAGGGGAGCGU